rnacentral:rRNA from 1 species
UACGUAGGGUCCGAGCGUUGUCCGGAAUCAUUGGGCGUAAAGAGCGUGUAGGCGGCCAGGUAGGUCGGUUGUGAAAACUGGAGGCUCAACCUUCAGAGGUCGACCGAAACCAUCUGGCUAGAGUCCGGGAGAGGAGAGUGGAAUUCCUGGUGUAGCGGUGAAAUGCGCAGAUAUCAGGAAGAACACCCGUGGCGAAAGCGGCUCUCUGGAACGGUACUGACGCUGAGACGCGAAAGCGUGGGGAGCGAACAGG